rnacentral:rRNA from 1 species
ACGAAGGGUGCAAGCGUUACUCGGAAUUACUGGGCGUAAAGGGCGCGUAGGUGGCCUUUUGAGUCAGACGUGAAAUCCCCCGGCUUAACCUGGGAACUGCGUCUGAUACUGGAAGGCUCGAGUUCGGGAGAGGGAUGUGAAAUUCCAGGUGUAGCGGUGAAAUGCGUAGAUAUCUGGAGGAACACCGGUGGCGAAGGCGGCAUCCUGGACCGAAACUGACACUGAUGCGCGAAAGCCAGGGGAGCGAACGGGA